rnacentral:rRNA from 1 species
AUACGGAGGGUGCAAGCGUUAAUCGGAAUUACUGGGCGUAAAGCGCGCGUAGGCGGUUUUGUAAGUCGGAUGUGAAAGCCCAGGGCUCAACCUUGGAAUUGCAUUCGAAACUGCAUGACUAAAGUAUGGUAGAGGGAAGUGGAAUUCCAGGUGUAGCGGUGAAAUGCGUAGAUAUCUGGAGGAACAUCAGUGGCGAAGGCGACUUCCUGGACCAAUACUGACGCUGAGGUGCGAAAGCGUGGGGAGCAAACAGGAUUAGAAACCCUGGUAGUCC